rnacentral:rRNA from 1 species
GCGACCCCGGGUCAGGCGGGACUACC